UUAUGUUUUUUGAAAUUGUAUCACUGUCCUUUGUAAUGAUGAGCACAUGUGUUAUUUAUUUUGUUUAUUAUUUUUAUGUUUAUUUAUCAAUUUGGAAUGUUCUGUUGGAUUUUUAUUUGUUAUAAAAUGAAGGAAGUCUCGAUGGUUCUUGUUCAAACAAGAAUGCAGUAAAUCCGAACAAAUUUUAUUCCAUUUUUUGACAGGUCUCGACUUUGAGGUUAUGUUGGCCUUUAAAAACUUUUCGAAUUUAAAUUUUUUAAAAGUUUUAUAAAUUUGUAUCAUUGAACAAUGUGUCCUGAUGAGCUGUGUUCACAGUGAAAAUGCAUUCGAUGAAAUAAAGUAAUAAUUGCUGAUUUUUAACAACUUUCUCAAAUCUUUUGGACCCAAGGCCACAAUAUAAACAAUUUUAUUUGA